UACGGAGGGUGCAAGCGUUAUCCGGAUUUACUGGGUUUAAAGGGUGUGUAGGCGGACUUUUAAGUCCGUGGUGAAAUCUCCGGGCUCAACCCGGAAACUGCCAUGGAUACUAUUGGUCUUGAAUGUUGUGGAGGUGGGCGGAACGGGUCAUGUAGCGGUGAAAUGCUUAGAGAUGACCCGGAACACCGAUUGCGAAGGCAGCUCACUAAAGUGUAACUGACGCUGAGGCACGAAAGCGUGGGGAUCAAACAGG
rnacentral:rRNA from 1 species